CACUAUGGUCUUGUAGUGGAUGUGCGCUUCGACUAGAAACCAAUUGAGUGUUCAGAUGAGCAGUGAGACAUGGGAGAACUUGGGAAGGUUGAACACCAGAUGGGCUGCGGUGUUGUGGAUAAAUUGCGGGGGUUCGAUGGGACAAGAACGGAGCCCAGCCAACAGAGUUGCGGUAGUCCAGACGGAAUAUGACGAGUGCCUGGAUUAGGACCUGCGCAGCUUCCUGUGUGAGAAAAGUUUGUUGUAGAGCAUGAACCUGCAGGAGCGAGUCACUGUUUUGAUGUUUGCAGAGAAUGACAGGAUGUUGUCUAGGGUCAAGCCAGGAUUCUUUUCACUCGGAGGGGGAGACCGUCUUUUCAGAAUGUAAUUACUUUUUUUGCUAUGUAGCGGUGUAGCUAACUACUGGAACUACACACUACUGUUUUUGCAAAAAGAAAUGGAUACCCUCCCCCUACCCGUGGUGUUGGAAGAGGCUGUAUUGGGAGAAGGAUGCAUCAACACCCUGGACAUAUGAUUGGGGUGCACUCACUCAACACUCUUUUUGCAGUGAUAAAUGAGUGUAUUGUCUUCAGGAUUCUUAAGGACUGUGGACACACCAAGCGACACGACAAAGCUUGAGCAGUAGCCUGGUCUUGCCAGGCACAUGAAGGAGACCGCGAUUCAGAGGGCUCAGUGGUCCAGACAGAAUGGGGCCAAGACAGUCGAUAGUCCAAGAGUAUCCAUGUCUUCUGGAUACUUCAGGCAUGCCCCCCGUGGGAAUCGAACCCACAACCCUGGAGUUGCACACACCAUGCUCUACCAACUGAGCCACAGGGAAGGCCAACUUCAGAGAUUUGAAGAGGUCUAGGGGGCGGAUGUCCUACGGAGACGAUCCCCACCUGCUUCAAGAUGUCCACGAUCUUCCCCGUGCCAAGAAACGGAAAGUAACUGAACUGAAUGAUUACUGACCCGUAGUACUCACGUCCAUCAUCAUGAAGUGAUUCGAGAGGCUAGUCAAAGACCACAUCACCUCUUCCCUCCCUGACACACUCAACCCUCUCCAAUUCGCCUACCGCCCUGACAGAUCCACGGACGAUGCAAUCGCCAUUGCACUACACACUGCCCUCACCCACCUGGACAAAGGGAAUGCAUAUGUGAGGAUGCUGUUCAUCAACUACAGCUUGGACUUCAAUACCAUAGUGCCCUCUAAGCUCACCACAAAGCUCAUGGCCCUGGGACUGAACUCCUCCCUAUGCAACUGGAUCCUGGACUUCCUGAAGGGCCGUCCCCAGGUGGUGAAGGUAGACAACAUCACCUCCUCAACACUGAUUCUCAACACGGGGAGGUAGGCAGCCAGGUAAACAACCUCUCCCUCAACGUGAGCAAAACAAAGGUGCUGAUUGUGGACUUCAGUUGGAUCCAGGCUGGUCACGCCCUCAUCAACGGGCUGCUGUGUAAAGUUCUUCUGUGUACACAUCUCCGAGGAGCUGAAAUGGUUUAUCAUUGCUAGAGUUGUUAAUAUGUAUCUUAUUCUUUUUUUUAAUUUUUUUAUUAUAAAUGUUUUAUUUCACUGCAUUGUUGGAACUCGGAUCUCAAGAAUUUCACUGUACCCUGUAAUUACAUCUGCAACCUUGUACAUGUGACUAUUAAACUAAUCUAAAUAAUACAAAAAAAUGUUUUUGGAUUGCCCCGGUCGAGACGCAUUUAAUGGUACCAGAUCAAUUUACUUCUUCUUCUGUGGAUUUUUUAUGGCAGUUGGCAACCAACUUUAAUGUGCAUUACUGCCACCAAAUGGACUGGAGU